rnacentral:lncRNA from 1 species
CUGGAACUGUAGCUGCAGCUUAAUUUCACAACAUAAAUAUAUAAUAUACUAAUAUUAUAUUAUAUCAAUGAAUCAAUCAAGUUCUCUUGGAAAGAGAAGGAGAAAAGAAAAAAAACAGAGGAAAGAACAGUUUGUGUAUGGUUAUGUGGUUUGAAUAUGUGAUGAUAGUUUUGUCCAUUAAUGGCAAAGCCAGAGAAGGAGAUGGAGGAUGAGA